GUGAGCGCUGGCGGCAGGCCUAACACAUGCAAGUCGAACGGCAGCACAAGAGAGCUUGCUCUCUGGGUGGCGAGUGGCGGACGGGUGAGGAAUGCAUCGGAAUCUGCCCAUUUGUGGGGGAUAACCUCGGGAAACCGGGACUAAUACCGCAUACGACCUACGGGUGAAAGCAGGGGAUCUUCGGACCUUGCGCAGAUGGAUGAGCCGAUGCCGGAUUAGCUAGUUGGAGGGGUAAAGGCCCACCAAGGCGACGAUCCGUAGCUGGUCUGAGAGGAUGAUCAGCCACACUGGGACUGAGACACGGCCCAGACUCCUACGGGAGGCAGCAGUGGGGAAUAUUGGACAAUGGGCGCAAGCCUGAUCCAGCCAUGCCGCGUGUGUGAAGAAGGCCUUCGGGUUGUAAAGCACUUUUGUUGGGAAAGAAAAGCAGCCGGUUAAUACCCGGCUGUCAUGACGGUACCCAAAGAAUAAGCACCGGCUAACUUCGU
rnacentral:rRNA from 1 species